rnacentral:ncRNA from 2 species
AAAAUUAAACAUGGGAUAGAUGUCAGGGAAGUCUCGUGAAAAUCGAGCUCUGCCCCGCAACUGUAAACCGCGACGAAAGCUUAAAAUAAGUCACUGGUCUAGUCACAAAUUAGACUGGGAAGACCUUUAGCAAGUAGGAAGACCGGUAAAGACAGGAAACCUGGCUAUCCAAUAAAGUUGCG